UUUGGGAGCACUGUGAUAAAG
rnacentral:misc_RNA from 1 species